CCACACAACCCAAAAACACCUUGAAUAUUAUAAUGGAAACAAGUUCAUGAUCAAGCCCACGAAUGGUUGAACAAUAUACUUUAUGUUUGUCUCCAAAACAAAGAUCCACUCCACAAGCAGACAGCAGAGUUAAAUUCGUGAGUAUAAUUGGUGAUGUCUGAUAGAUUGCCCUCUUCUUCCGUGUCCAUUUGCUCCGAGCUACAAUCCGGAAUGAAGAAAAGAAGCACACAAAAUGGCACUAGGAUUUCAUUUCCACCAGGACUGGUCAAAACUGAGUUCAAGACUUUGGUUUUUCUGAUGUCGGGAUUCAAGAAUUCGUACAUUGCCGACUAGAUUUUUUAUAGACAAUCAAUUAUAAGGCACAACAGCAAGCCUCCAAGACAGGAUACAUUACACAGUACUCAUGUUGAUGUCGCAUUCUGCUCUUGCUCCCUAUUUUUUUCCUCUUGAUUAUAGAAAUUAAUUAGUAAGAAAUAAAAGACUUCAAAAGGAAUUGUUUC